AUUAUAACACUUACUACAAUGGAGCUCCUAAUGAAAAAAAAAAGUGUUCUUGAGUAAAGUUUCCGAGUCUUUGUGGGCUUGGGGGUCUUGUUUUUUUUUUUUUGUUCUAUGAAACUAUAUACUGCUGUUUUCACUAUAUUUUCAUAUUUAUUUCUUAUAAUGGUAUGACAUACCAACAUCAAAACAUUAUAUGAAGCACGGACACACCAAAAAGGGUAAUGUGUCAGUGUCUGAUAUGGGUACACACAAGGGGCUGCAUGUGUGUCCCCUGAGUGUACACUGAAAUUCUAAUGUUGACAUGGCCUGGACACAGUCACAACUCAGUAAGGAUACUGCUGAUAAAAACAAAAAAAAGAAGGAAAAAACGUAGAUCUUUUCUAGCUGCCACGAUCUCCACUGUCCAUAGAUCUGUCCUUAGUCUUCAAAUUUCGUUCUCUCCCCAUUGCAGUGCCUGCCUUAGAUUUGAUGUUCAAUCAGCCACCGGGACCCAUCAACAGACCAUUGCAACUCUCUUGCCCUCACUCUUCUCUUUUCUCAUACCUCUCUCACCCUCUUUGGUGAUGGCAGCCCAUCGCACCUCUCUUGCCAGCACCCUUCUCUGUUCUCUGAUACUUUUUAUUUAAUUUUUUUUUAAUUCUAGAACUAAUGAAUAGUGACUACUAUUCUAAAGUGUAGGAACUAAUGAAUAUUAACUACUAUUCUAAAGUGUCAUGAUCCCUACUCACUUUUACUGUUUUGCAUUUGUUUUAAUUGUUGUAUAGUCAUUGGAGCUCUGUUUGUUUAUUUAUUUUUAUUAAUUGAUGUAAUGAAUAAAAAUAAUGUUACUAUGUAGAUCAUUUACUUGCAUUUAGGGGCGGAACUAGAAUUUUGAAGAUUUUAACUAAAUUUAAGGGUAAUUUUUUAAUUAUUGAAAAGUUUGGGGGGGCCAUGGCCCCCACAACUCAAUGAGUAGUUCCGCCCUUGCUUGCAUUAUUCUAUUUUAUUUAUUAAAUUGAAUUAUUUGACUGCUACUAGUAAAAUUAGAUAUGCUUUUAAACAUUUUGAUGGUUGUUCAUUAUUUUUAAAACCUAAAAUAAACAUAAUUUAUUCCUUAAAAUAUGCCUAAAUAUAAAUUUUAAUUAAUUAAUUAACUACCGUAUCCCCAGCGCAUUGUACCCUAGUUUUUUUAAGAAAUGGCAUAUCUGUGUCAGGUCGUAUCGGUGUCCAUGCUUCCUAUGCCUCCGUCCCUUUCUAAAGAUCUAAAUGUGUUCCUUGUUGGUUUUCUUUUGAUCACAAAGCUAGUGGUGGAAAUGGCACUUUGAAGUGUCAUGCCUCAACUGAUGAAGCAUUAAAAGUCAAUCAAUUUUUUUGUGAAUUUGACGUGUUACAAUUUGAAUGGUUGAAAUUGCUUUGAAAUAGCUACCUUCUAUGUAUGCCUUGAAAUGAAAAAUGUCAAGAGCACGUUAAAUCUAAUAGCCAUUUCAAGUGACACCAUACUGUUAUUUUAGUGCAGAUCUUGGCAUCAACUAAAUCACUUUUAAUCCAGAGAAAAUCAAAGCCAUGAAAAUAAAAUCUCAGUCACCAACUGCUGUUGAUGUGGAGGAAUGAUCUUUUCCUUUUGAACUACAUCUCGUCAAACAGAGCCCAAUAACUCUUAAUGCUAUCUCCUGCCACUGAUCUUGCCUCGGCUACACUUCUCAAACAGUAGAGAAAACAAAAUGAUGUAGUUCUCUAGCAGCUGAAUAGUGUAAAUGAUUUUUAGUAUUGCUCCAUCCCUGAAGUGUAUUCUCUACUAGUUAGUUUUGAUAUGUCCUCUCUUGAUUAGAUUUUCUACCUGAUUAAAUCUCCUUAACUCCACUUUCCACUCAAAUGAAUUUCACUUUGGUAAGCAUUCCAAUCCUGCCAGAUACUAUGAAAUUGCAUAGUUUUCUGUUGAUGACCCUUUAGAAUCUUAUAAUUACUUGAUCUCGGGGGGGAUGGACCUCCAAGCUAGAUAGAGGGGUACAUGGGUUUGGUUUGUGGAGAAGUAUCCGAAUGGGUUGGGAGGUUUUUAGCAAAAAUAUUCAGUUUGAGAUAGGGGUGGGGGAUAGAGUGAAGCUUUGGACAGAUCAAUGGUGUGGGGAGUAUCCACUUCACAUAAUCUUUCCGGGUGUGUAUAGGAUUGCUUCCAAUAAAGAGGCAUCAGUGGCUUCCUCUCUUGAACGGUUAGGGAUUGAGGAACGGAGAAGUUGGGAUGUUCAUUUCAUUCAGAGACCAAAUGAUUGGGAAAUGGGUGGUGUUCUGUACUUUGGGUUCUAAUUUACCUCAUACUGAGAAUGGAGAUUGUAUGCGAUGGAAGUUGAUGAAGAAUGGGGAUUUUGACAUCCAAUCGUUUUAUAAUAAGUUAAGAAACCCUUUGCCCAUAAUCUUUCCUUGGAAAGGUGUUUGGAAGGUUCAGGCUCCUCGGCGAGUUUCUUUCUUUGUGUGGACUGUUGUAUGGAAUAAGAUCCUUACAUGUGACAAUUUGAGGGGUAGAGGGAUGGAUUUUGUUGACUGGUGCAUUAUGUGUCGUUGUAAUGGAGAGAUGGUAGAUCAUUUGCUACUUCAUUGUGGUAAGGCUUACUGGUUGUGGAGUUUGGUUUUUAGAUCUUUUGGGAUUUCUUGGGUCUUGCCAAAAUCCGUUGCGGAUGCUCUCUUUGGUUGGUGGAAUUGGCCUAGAAAGCAUUCGUCUAGCAUUUGGAAUUUAGCUCCGUUGUACUUAAUGUGGUCUCUAUGAAGGAAACGAAAUUGGAGGACGUUUGAGGACAUGAAAAGUUUUGAUGACCAGCUAUUGGCUUCUUUUAGUGGCUCACUUUUUGACUGGUCUAGGGCUUGGGGAAUCACCACUAGUGAUUCUCUCCCUAUGUUCCUUAGCUCUGUCCUUUGUAAUUAGUAGCUUUUCUUUUUUCUUUGUUCUUUUUCCCGUUCUUUCUCUGCCUUAUGUUUUUCUGCAUAAGGUAGUGUUCCUAAAUAUACAUCCUUAUUACUUAUCAAAAAAAAAAAAUUACUUGAUCUCAGAAUCCUCUCCUUUAGUUGGUCUUAGUCACUUGUUUGCUGUCCAUAUGCCCGAUCUCUUAGCUUUAUGUAGGCAUUCCCACCCCCUUCGCAUUCAUGAGUUACCAUUAAUGAGGCUUCUUAAUAAACUUCAAAAGUUUAUGCCUUGAAUACUUGGAGUUCUUCAAAACCUCUUCCCAAAACUUACUCCAUUAACUACAAAGGCCCCCAGAAUUCCUUCAUCUCAAAUUCCAAUAAGCAAAGUUUCUUUGUUUUCAGCACAUGCAUUGGAAAGAUCAUCAAUUGGGAGAUCAAGUUGCAAAAUAUAUUAGAAGGAUACACAGGAUUGAAUUUUUUUUCUUAGUAAAAAAAAAUAUUUAUGUUCAACUGCUUCAAUUGAAAUUGGUUUUUCUGUAUUAAUUUCCAUAAUUCUUCUUAUUAGAUGUGAAAUGAUUGUUAGAAUCACUUAGAAAAGAAGACAUAAAUGAUUGUCUAGUCCUCUUAUUGAUGUUUUUCCUUGGAAGAGUAUUUGGUGUGUAAAGAUGCCUAAAGGGUGUCUUUCUUUUUAUGGAUAGCAACUCAGAGUGGGAUACUUACCGUUGAUAAUCUUGUUAAGAGAGUUUAGUCCCUAGUUAAUUGGUGUUGUUGCAAUGGGGAAACCAUGGACCAUCUUUUGCUCCACUGAAUUGGUUUGGGGAACACUUGUCCAAUAUUUGGAAUAUGGUUCCAGCAUGUAUAAUGCAGUUGGUUUGGCAGGAACGCAGUACCCGUACCUUUGAAGAUAUUGAGAGACCUUUAGAUCUUUUCAAAGGUGUGGGGAGUCUGUGGACCACCUUCUUCUUCAUUGCCCAAUAGCUUACAGGUUCUGGACAAUGGUGUUUUAUCUUUUUGGGCUCCAAUGGGUUAUACCAAAGAGGGUUAUCGAUUUAUUCUCUACAUGGCAGGGACCCUUUGGAAAGCAUAGAAAUAUAGCCUUCUGGAAGGCUAUGCCACAUUGCAUUGUGUAGUGUUUGUGGUGUGAAUGGAAUGC